rnacentral:rRNA from 1 species
AGCGAACGCUGGCGGCAGGCUUAACACAUGCAAGUCGAGCGGGCGUAGCAAUACGUCAGCGGCAGACGGGUGAGUAACGCGUGGGAACGUACCUUUUGGUUCGGAACAACACAGGGAAACUUGUGCUAAUACCGGAUAAGCCCUUACGGGGAAAGAUUUAUCGCCGAAAGAUCGGCCCGCGUCUGAUUAGCUAAUUGGUGAGGUAAUGGCUCACCAAGGCGACGAUCAGUAGCUGGCUGAGAGGAUGAUCAGCCACAUUGGGACUGAGACACGGCCCAAACUCCUACGGGAGGCAGCAGUGGGGAAUAUUGGACAAUGGGCGCAAGCCUGAUCCAGCCAUGCCGCGUGAGUGAUGAAGGCCCUAGGGUUGUAAAGCUCUUUUGUGCGGGAAGAUAAUGACGGUACCGCAAGAAUAACGCCCCGGCUAACUUCGUGCCAGCAGCCGCUGUAAG